rnacentral:rRNA from 1 species
GGCUCAGAUUGAACGCUGGCGGCAUGCUUUACACAUGCAAGUCGAACGGUAACAGGCCUUCGGGUGCCGGCGAGUGGCGAACGGGUGAGUAAUGCAUCGGAACGUGCCAUUGAGUGGGGAUAACGUAGCGAAAGUUACGCUAAUACCGCAUAUUCUGCGAGCAGGAAAGCAGGGGACCGCAAGGCCUUGCGCUCUUUGAGCGGCCGAUGUCAGAUUAGCUAGUUGGUGAGGUAAAGGCUUACCAAGGCGACGAUCUGUAGCGGGUCUGAGAGGAUGAUCCGCCACACUGGAACUGAGACACGGUCCAGACUCCUACGGGAGGCAGCAGUGGGGAAUUUUGGACAAUGGGCGCAAGCCUGAUCCAGCCAUGCCGCGUGAGUGAAGAAGGCCUUCGGGUUGUAAAGCUCUUUCGGCCGGGAAGAAAUCGCAUGGGUUAAUACCCUGUGUGGAUGACGGUACCGGAAUAAGAAGCACCGGCUAACUACGUG